UGUCCCUUUAAAUUCAGUCCAGAGAGGCUGGCAAGGGAGGUAAUAAAUCGCGUGCAGCACAGAAAGACCUGUGUGCGCGUGUGCCUCCACGGCCUCUUUUGCUAAAGCAAGAGAGGUUUUUUAAU
rfam:Fictibacillus arsenicus strain G25-54, complete genome.